CUGUUAGAUUUACAUGGUUUAUUUUAGAGGAGAGAAUUAACUUGUUUUUGCCUGAUGCCUAGGCAGUGCAGUACUCGCAGCUUCCCAGUUGCUUUGGACUUUGCCGAUCCUUGUCUGAUCUUGGCAUAACAACCAAGAAAGGAAGGAAAAAUAUUUUGCCAUAAAAUCUGGCUUCCUGCACUUCCUACAGUUAAUGGUACUUUGAAGGAUUCAAGCAACCUGCCCAGCCUUUGCAUGGAGGCCUCUUUAAUGUAUUUGAUAGCUAACAAACUGCCCUCUACUCUAGAGGGAGACGCCAUCUUUACCUUCCACGUCUGUUCACUCUGCAGAUGCCCAUGGAAAGAUAGUCCAGAGCAUGAGACCAUCACUGCCUCUGCUUUCACGAUGUGCAAAAACUCGAGAGACCCAUGGGAAAUUGUGUCCCUGCAGUCUUUACUGAGUUACAUGUUUCUGUUGCCAAUUGGGAAAACCUGUCAUUGUGUCAUUAAGGUAGCUAGUCGCUGCUACUCUGGGUUUCGUGUGUCACUUGCUAAUGUGUUGGAUUUAUGUAUCUUAGAAAAAGUACGAAAGGAUUGAAUGGCCUCA